GCCUUCGUGAUAUAGUGGUCAGCACGCUCGGCUUGUAUUCGAGAGGUUCAUGGUUCGAUUCCCGGUGAGGGCA
rnacentral:tRNA from 1 species